ensembl:lncRNA
AGGAAUUCUGCCCCCAUUCAUUUUCAAUGAGGGCACGCAGAGAAAUGUGCAGGGGAAUGUGGGAAGGUGUGCGGCGAGAAUCCUGCUAGCGGAGCGGGAGAAAAAGUUGAGCUCUGCUCUAUGCAAAUUUAAAGCGAAGGAAAGCAUUGGAGCGAAGCGCCGCCUCUGGUCAAAACCCUACGCUAGGAGUUGGCAUGACAGCACAAAGAGAUCUGGGACCAGGUUAGAGGUAAAAGUAUUACUCUACCGGGCUUCGAAAUCAGCACAGAAAACCAUGGCAACAACAAAGCCUGGGUUUAACCUUGGACGGUCUUUGCACACACAUAAUGAACUUCAUCGACACACGACACGGUACAUGUCGCCCAUGUUAUUCUGUCAUUCACUAUCAACUUCGAGGGUACGCUGCUCUUCUGAUCUGUUCCUGCAUCAUUGCCAUUGGUUUAUUGGUCUCCAUUGCAGGAACAGCUAGCUUCCCAGUACAACUUCAGUGUUUACAAGCACAACCGCUACAGAUGGCAGAAGCGCAUUCUUCAGAGGAAGACAUGACUAUGAGCUGGAGGCCACGUCACUGGAGGACAAACACAAGAUGUGUAAUAUUCCUUACUUGAGCACCAGACUGGAUCUGCUGAUGACUCUGAGAGAGCUUCCCGUAAGCAUGGAGGAUCUGCAGCCACUGAUUAACCAGAAGAUCAGGAUGUGCACGCAGUUAUGCGGCUCCAGGUCGUUCAUCUCCGUGCUGCAGUACCUGCUGUCCAUCGGCAAUUGCCUCAACAAGAACGCAGGGCAGGGAAAGGCCAAGGGAUUCCGCCUGUCCUCUUUAACUAAACUCUCCCAGGUCCAUGGGACAGACAGGAAGUUCACCUUGCUGCAUGCCCUUGUGGAGCAGAUCAUGUUGCACGAAGCCGGCUUGGCCACUUUUCCCCAAGAGUUGGCGGAAUUCGAAACUGUCCCUGGAGCUUCCAUUAAAGGCCUAACUGCUGAAGUGGAUGAUGAGCGCAUCAUAGUGUGGCGGUGAAGGGAAUUUCCAUUUGUCAGGCAUAUUAUGACGAUUGAGAAGUACAACACAGAUCUCUCCCUGCUGACAAAGAGGUGUGAGGGAAUGAGGAAACUCUACACUGAUAUAUUGGCUAAAUUCGGAGAGCCAAUGGAUCAAGAUUCUCAGGAGCUGUUUGGAUUGGUGUGCCAGUUUGUCAACGACUUCAAGAGGACACAUACUGAAAUCAGAUAACAAUAUUUGCUGUCCUUGAGAUACUAUCUAUGUAAAUUCAGCCAGUCUGAAUAGAAUGUAGUUAUAAUUUGUGUACCACACAAGCUGUGCUAUUUCAGUAGUCAAAAAAACCUGGCAUUCUACUGAGAAACAUAACUCACAGCUGUGACUAAUAUUAUGAUCAGGCGGCUAGACUUGAGUACUGCAAUUUCAGUAGGAAAAUAUUUUAGUGUAC